rnacentral:lncRNA from 1 species
CAGGGUAAGAGAAGUUUAUUUACUUUGAAACACAGGCACAAAAUCUCAACAGCAGAUGUACGGGCAUGAAUAGGAGCAGUGAGGCAGGAUCCAAGUGGUUCAGGGUGUGACAGAAACAGAGGGCAGGUUCAGCAGAGUAAGGAGAUAACCAAUUAAGGUGUUUCAACAGAGAUAACAGGGAACUAGUUCAACAGAAUUAUAGAUAAGUAACUUGAAUAGGGACCUACUACAUCUUAUGGAUAAGGGACAAAAUAACUGGAAAGAGUUCAUCAAAAAAAAAGGGGGGGGGGAGGAAAGAGCUCUUUAUUCAGGGAUACAGACAGAGCUCUUCACUGACUUCCAAAGCAGCUACAGCUUGGCUUAACAACUAGACUCUACUUCCCAACUAGUUCAUC